AAGGGCUUAUAAGUCCCAUUCCAUAAAAAAGAGCAGAGCACCUCGGGGAGAGGGCCUAAGAUGCUUCAGACCCUCUGAGCCCCUUUGUCUGCGUGGAACGGGUCUCUAGUCGCGGGUGGACAAAGCGUAGGAUGAGUGACAAACAGACGCACACAGGAGAGGUCGAGGAAUCUGAAUGUCAUUUUUCAAAUCGAGCAUCAGACUUUUUAUGCAGAAGACAAUAAGGAAGUUGGAUGACAUACCUGCAAGGUACAAAUGAGCUUUCCCAGAUAUCUCUGAAGAUACCAUUUUGAAUAGGACUCACAUCACUCACUGCCUUGGUAGGGUCAUCUUUGUUCCACAAGAGGAAAACUGUCCACGAGAGGGUGGAGAUCACUCUGGCCAUGCAUAAUCAGAUUAACAUCAACGGUCCUUUACUCUGAAGAAGCCAUGGAGACCCCUCUUGCUGAUUAAGCCAGCUCAGGCUCCUGUGGAUGCUAUGGCCCUGGGCACUGAGCCCAGCAUCUGAACUUGUUCCUGGACCAGAGGUUCGAGAUGUCCACUUCUGAGGCCAUUUACUUCUUUGUGGGCCACCAGCUGUU
rnacentral:lncRNA from 1 species